rnacentral:ncRNA from 1 species
GAAAAAACGUAGAAAAAGGAUUAGUAUAGCUAGUUGCUUUGUUAAGAGAGCUGGUGGUAGGUGCGAACCAGUCAAACGCUAGUUAGAAUCUCCCUUUGAGUGAAGAGUGAAAAGCUCUUACAGUUGCCGCUGUUAUCGGCAAAAGUGGUAUAGAAUGAUAGUGGUUCUAUACAACAAGGGUGGCAACGCGGGAAACCGUCCCUUCU